rnacentral:rRNA from 1 species
GUCUACAGCCAUGCCUCCCUGAGCAGGCCCGAUCUCGUCUGAUCUCGGAAGCUAAGCAGGGUUGGGCCUGGUUAGUACUUGGAUAGGAGUCUACCUAGGAAGACCAGGUCUACAGUCGUGUACA